ensembl:snRNA U2 U2 spliceosomal RNA
AAUGCUUCUCAGUGUUUUGGCUAAGAGCGAGUAUAAUAUCACAUUUUAUCAGUUUAAUAUCUGAUAUGUCCAUAAAGGACAAUAUAUUCAAUGGAUUUUUGUUGCUGGGAGAUGGAAUAGGAGCUUGCUUUACCCACUCCACACACUGACCUGGUAUUGCAACACUUCCAAGAACAGUGCAACCUCU